rnacentral:rRNA from 1 species
UACGUAGGGUGCGAGCGUUGUCCGGAAUUAUUGGGCGUAAAGGGCUCGUAGGCGGUUUGUCGCGUCGGGAGUGAAAUCCACUGGCUUAACUGGUGGCUUGCUUUCGAUACGGGCAGACUGGAGGUAUGCAGGGGAGAACGGAAUUCCAGGUGUAGCGGUGAAAUGCGCAGAUAUCAGGAGGAACACCGGUGGCGAAGGCGGGACUCUGGGCCGAUACUGACGCUGAGGAGCGAAAGCGUGGGGAGCAAACAGG